rnacentral:rRNA from 1 species
UACGUAGGGUGCAAGCGUUGUCCGGAAUUAUUGGGCGUAAAGAGCUCGUAGGUGGCCUGUCGCGUCGGCUGUGAAAACCCGGAGCUCAACUCCGGGCCUGCAGUCGAUACGGGCAGACUGGAGUUCGGCAGGGGAGACUGGAAUUCCUGGUGUAGCGGUGAAAUGCGCAGAUAUCAGGAGGAACACCGGUGGCGAAGGCGGCAUCCUGGACCGGCAUUGACGCUGAGGCGCGAAAGCCAGGGGAGCAAACGGG